UCAUUUUUUCCUUUAGACAUUAGAUCAGCAACAGUUUUCUACAGAGGAAGAACUGAAAGAAUAUGAAAAUCUUAUCUGCUUACGAAAAAAUGAACUUAAAAAAGCAGGUGAACUUCAGAAACAAAAAGAAGAACUACAGCGCCAGCAUGACCAACUCGAGGCUCAGAAGCUGGAAUAUCAUCAGGUCAUACAGCAGAUGGAACAAAAAAAAUUACAACAAGAACUUUCUCCAUCAGUGCCUGGUGGAGAAUCGAAGUUCAAGCCACGUAUGUAAUUUUGUUUGCUUAUUUGUUUGAUUAAGGAAAUAAAUUGAAAUCCACAUUUA